GACGAACGCUGGCGGCGUGCCUAAUACAUGCAAGUCGAACGCAGUGGGGACGGGUGAGUAACACGUGGGUAACCUCCCAUCAGAGGGGAUAACACUUGGAAACAGGUGCUAAACCGAUACUGAUGGAUGGACCCGCGGUGCGUUAGAGAGUUGGUGAGGUAACGGCUCACCAAGGCCACGAUGCAUCGCCGGACUGAGAGGGUGGUCGGCCACACUGGGACUUAGACACGGCCCAGACUCCUACGGGAGGCAUCAGUAGGGAAUCUUCGGCAAUGGACGAAAGUCUGACCGAGCAACGCCGCGUGAGUGAAGAAGGUUUUCGGAUCGUAAAGCUCUGUUGUUAGAGAAGCGGUAUCUCCCCAGAAAGCCACGGCUAACUACGUGCCAGCAGCCGCGGUAAUUC
rnacentral:rRNA from 1 species